rnacentral:rRNA from 1 species
CCUACGGUGGGCAGCAGUGGGGAAUAUUGGACAAUGGGCGAAAGCCUGAUCCAGCCAUGCCGCGUGUGUGAAGAAGGCCUUCGGGUUGUAAAGCACUUUCAGUGGGGAAGAAAGCCUUGGGGCUAAUACCCUCGAGGAAGGACAUCACCCACAGAAGAAGCACCGGCUAACUCCGUGCCAGCAGCCGCGGUAAUACGGAGGGUGCGAGCGUUAAUCGGAAUUACUGGGCGUAAAGCGCGCGUAGGCGGUCUGAUAAGCCGGUUGUGAAAGCCCCGGGCUCAACCUGGGAACUGCAUCCGGAACUGUCAGGCUAGAGUGCAGGAGAGGAAGGUAGAAUUCCCGGUGUAGCGGUGAAAUGCGUAGAGAUCGGGAGGAAUACCAGUGGCGAAGGCAGCCUUCUGGACUGAUACUGACGCUGAGGUGCGAAAGCGUGGGUAGCAAACAGGAUUAGAUACCCUGGUAGUC